GACGAACGCUGGCGGCGUGCUUAACACAUGCAAGUCGAACGGAGUGGCGAACGGGUGAGUAUUACGUGAGUAACCUGCCCUCAACUGUGGGAUAAGCCUGGGAAACUGGGUCUAAUACUGAAUCGUUGGGGAUGGGCUCGCGGCCUAUCGGCUGGUUGGUGGGGUGAUGGCCUACCAGGGCGGUGCCGGGUAGCCGGCCUGAGAGGGGGUGCGGCCAGAUUGGGACUGGAAUACCGACCAGACUCCGACGGGAGGCAGCGGUGGGGGAUAUUGCACAAGGGGCGCAAGCCUGAUGCCGCGACGCCGCGUGAGGGAUGAAGGCUUUCGGGUUGUAAACCUCUUUCGGUACAGAACGGGUAUGUGCAGAAGAAGCGCCGGCUAACUACGUGCCAGCAGCCGCGGUAAUAC
rnacentral:rRNA from 1 species